rnacentral:rRNA from 1 species
UACGUAGGCAGCAAGCGUUGUUCGGAGUUACUGGGCGUAAAGGGUGUGUAGGCGGGUGUUUAAGUUUGGUGUGAAAUCUUCCGGCUCAACUGGGAGGGUGCGCCGAAUACUGAAUGACUAGAGUGCGGGAGAGGAAAGUGGAAUUCCUGGUGUAGCGGUGAAAUGCGUAGAUAUCAGGAGGAACACCGGUGGUGUAGACGGCUUUCUGGACCGUAACUGACGCUGAGACACGAAAGCGUGGGUAGCAAACAGG